CAGUCGCCGCGGUAAAACGUAGGGUGCAAGCGUUAAUCGGAUUUACUGGGCGUAAAGCGUGCGUAGGCGGCUUUUUAAGUCGGAUGUGAAAUCCCUGAGCUUAACUUAGGAAUUGCAUUCGAUACUGGGAAGCUAGAGUAUGGGAGAGGAUGGUAGAAUUCCAGGUGUAGCGGUGAAAUGCGUAGAGAUCUGGAGGAAUACCGAUGGCGAAGGCAGCCAUCUGGCCUAAUACUGACGCUGAGGUACGAAAGCAUGGGGAGCAAACAGGAUUAGAUACCCCCGUAGUCCCUGUCUCUUAUAC
rnacentral:rRNA from 1 species